AACGUCUCAACUGUAAACUCUGGGCACGCGGCUAGCGCCAGGUCCUCUCCAGCCCUAACAUUCUGUGAUUCUAAACUUGUCUGAUUUGUCUCAUAUGUUGCAAGGCUCGUAGCAAAAAGAAAAAAUACUCCAUAACUAUUUAAUAGGAAUUAGCUAAAGCACAGCUCUAGAGAGACACACACACACACACGUUUCAAAUAACCCGGAACACUAGAACCUAGUGAAUUUUACCUUUACUAAACUUUAGCGAUUAUUUGUUUAUUUCUUUCGUAACAAAGGUUAUUGAUUAGAUUUAGUGCUGAAAAAAAACAACAACGUGGGCUUCGGUCAUUUGUCUUAUGGAGGAAACAUAAAUCUAUAAAUCUUCCUCCUGUCUCUAAGAAAUAAAACUCUCUUCAUUUCCAAAGUA
rnacentral:lncRNA from 1 species